rnacentral:misc_RNA from 1 species
AAGUCGUAACAAGGUCUCCGUUGGUGAACCAGCGGAGGGAUCAUUAAUGAGUUUUCUAAACUCCAAACCCUUGAGAACUUACCUAGUUGCCUCGGCGGACUUACCCGGGAAGACCUACCCUGUAGCGAGUUACCCUGUAGCGAGUUGCCCUGUAGGGACCCGCCCUGUAGUCUGCCCGCCGACGGCCAACCUAAACUCUGUUUUAUUGUGGCACUUCUGAGGAUUAUUCUAAAUGAAUUAAAACUUUCAACAACGGAUCUCUUGGUUCUG